CGAGUUUGAUCAUGGCUCAGAACGAACGCUGGCGGCAUGCCUAACACAUGCAAGUCGAACGAAGGCUUCGGCCUUAGUGGCGCACGGGUGCGUAACGCGUGGGAACCUGCCCCUCGGUUCGGAAUAACAGUUAGAAAUGACUGCUAAUACCGGAUGAUGACUUCGGUCCAAAGAUUUAUCGCCGAGGGAUGGGCCCGCGUAGGAUUAGCUAGUUGGUGGGGUAAAGGCCUACCAAGGCGACGAUCCUUAGCUGGUCUGAGAGGAUGAUCAGCCACACUGGGACUGAGACACGGCCCAGACUCCUACGGGAGGCAGCAGUGGGGAAUAUUGGACAAUGGGCGAAAGCCUGAUCCAGCAAUGCCGCGUGAGUGAUGAAGGCCUUAGGGUUGUAAAGCUCUUUUACCAGGGAUGAUAAUGACAGUACCUGGAGAUAAGCUCCGGCUAACUCCGUG
rnacentral:rRNA from 1 species